rnacentral:rRNA from 1 species
AUUGAACGCUGGCGGCAGGCCUAACACAUGCAAGUCGAACGAGUGGCGGACGGGGGAGUAAUGUCUGGUGAACUGCCUGAUGGCGGGGGAUAACUACUGGAAACGGUAGCUAAUACCGCAUACCAUCGGAUGUGCCCAGAUGGGAUUAGCUUGUGGGUGGGGUAACGGCUCACCAAGGCGACGAUCCCUAGCUGGGCUGAGAGGAUGACCAGCCAAACUGGAACUGAGACACGGACCAGAGUCCUACGGGAGGCAGCAGGGGGGAAUAUUGCAAAAUGGGCGAAAGCCUGAUGCAGCCAUGCCGCGUGUAUGAAGAAGGCCUGCGGGUUGUAAAGUACUUUCAGUGGGGAGGCGUUACCCGCAGAAGAAGCACCGGCUAACUCCGUGCCAGCAGCCGCGGUAAUAC